rnacentral:lncRNA from 1 species
CAAUCUACCGGAUCACCGCCAAGUCCAACUACACAGGCGCCGCCAGCCCCAACUACACAGGCACCGCCAAGUCCAACUACACAGGCGCCACCGGCUCCAACUACACAGGCGCCGCCAAGUCCAACUACACAGGCGCCUCCAGCUCCAACUACACAGGCGCCGCCAAGUCCAACUACACAGGCGCCGCCAAGUCCAACAACACAAGCACCACCAAGUCCAACCCCUGCCUCCACACCACCACCAGUAGCUACUACACCUCCACCCACGUCCUCUCCACCCCCGGCGGUUACAUCUCCGCCUCCAGUUACCGCUCCUCCCACUCCACCUGCUUCACCUCCACCAGUUGCUACUCCACCUCCAUCGAGUCCGCCGCCCCCUGCUAGUCCUCCACCACCUGCUGCUCCCACACCUGCACCACUAGCUUCUCCGCCAGCUACGGCACCAGUUGCGACUCCAACCACAUCUCCUGCGCUAUCUCCGUCUUUGACGAGUCCUGCGAAUCCAUUGAACGGAUCUCCGGCCCCGAGUAUCCUGGCUCUUUCUCCUGCUCCAAUAUCAGCCACUGAUCAGGUACACGCCCUCACUCACAACUAUAUUACUCACGCCAUGUAUUCCAAUCACAACUUGCGCCGAUCGUGCACUGUGCGGCACUUUGCAUUCUCGUAAAUCAUGGAACUAAUGUACCUAGAUUUAGUCCAGUUCUACUAGAGAUGUUACUGUUCUUGUUGAGGUGCGUGUCGUUCAAGGUUCACGUUCUGAUGUGUCCCUUGUGGGUUCUUUUUUCAUUAGAAGAUAAAAUUAAAAAUGCUCAGAAAACAUUUUUAAAUUUGCCCCUGUUUGAGCUUAUUUUUUUGGAUAUAUACUUAACUAAAACUAAUACUUAAAUCAAAUUAUUCUGCUUCUUUUAUAUUUAAG